AUUGAACGCUGGCGGCAGGCCUAACACAUGCAAGUCGAACGGUAACAGGAAGAAGCUUGCUUCUUUGCUGACGAGUGGCGGACGGGUGAGUAAUGUCUGGGAAACUGCCUGAUGGAGGGGGAUAACUACUGGAAACGGUAGCUAAUACCGCAUAACGUCGCAAGACCAAAGAGGGGGACCUUCGGGCCUCUUGCCAUCGGAUGUGCCCAGAUGGGAUUAGCUAGUAGGUGGGGUAACGGCUCACCUAGGCGACGAUCCCUAGCUGGUCUGAAAGGAUGACCAGCCACACUGGAACUGAGACACGGUCCAGACUCCUACGGGAGGCAGCAGUGGGGAAUAUUGCACAAUGGGCGCAAGCCUGAUGCAGCCAUGCCGCGUGUAUGAAGAAGGCCUUUGGGUUGUAAAGUACUUUCAGCGGGGAGGAAGGGAGUAAAGUUAAUACCUUUACUCAUUGACGUUACCCGCAGAAGAAGCACCGGCUAACUCCGUG
rnacentral:rRNA from 1 species